rnacentral:rRNA from 1 species
AGCGAACGCUGGCGGCAGGCCUAACACAUGCAAGUCGAACGAACUCUUCGGAGUUAGUGGCGGACGGGUGAGUAACACGUGGGAACGUGCCUUUUGGUUCGGAAUAACUCAGGUAAACUUGUGCUAAUACCGAAUGUGCCCUUCGGGGGAAAGAUUUAUCGCCAUUAGAGCGGCCCGCGUCUGAUUAGCUAGUUGGUGAGGUAACGGCGCACCAAGGCGACGAUCAGUAGCUGGUCUGAGAGGAUGACCAGCCACACUGGGACUGAGACACGGCCCAGACUCCUACGGGAGGCAGCAGUGGGGAAUCUUGCGCAAUGGGCGAAAGCCUGACGCAGCAAUGCCGCGUGAAUGAUGAAGGUCUUAGGAUUGUAAAAUUCUUUCACCGGGGACGAUAAUGACGGUACCCGGAGAAGAAGCCCCGGCUAACUUCGUG